rnacentral:rRNA from 1 species
UGCGUAGGCGGGUUCUUAAGUCAGAGGUGAAAUCCUGGAGCUCAACUCCAGAACUGCCUUUGAUACUGAGAGUCUUGAGUUCGGGAGAGGUGAGUGGAACUGCGAGUGUAGAGGUGAAAUUCGUAGAUAUUCGCAAGAACACCAGUGGCGAAGGCGGCUCACUGGCCCGAUACUGACGCUGAUGCACGAAAGCGUGGGGAGCAAACA